rnacentral:piRNA from 1 species
UGCUGCCCUUUAGGAGCUCCAAAUGUGAUC